UACGAAGGGGGCUAGCGUUGUUCGGAAUUACUGGGCGUAAAGCGCGUGUAGGCGGGUCUUUAAGUCAGGGGUGAAAUGCCAGGGCUCAACCUUGGAACUGCCUUUGAUACUGGAGACCUUGAGUCCGAUAGAGGUGGGUGGAAUUCCUAGUGUAGAGGUGAAAUUCGUAGAUAUUGGGAAGAACACCGGUGGCGAAGGCGGCGACCUGGUCCUUGACUGACGCUGAGGCGCGAAAGCGUGGGGAGCAAACAGG
rnacentral:rRNA from 1 species